GUGUGAGUGGUUUUUCAGCCGCCGAUGUCUUUUGGAUGCGGGUGUGUCCUUGCAGUCGUGCAAAGCAAGAGUAAAAUCCUAAAUGUUAUCGGAGAGCACUGCAUGGGGAAGUUUUCACCAUAGAGCAUUUUCCUCGCCAGUCGACCGCACCCAGCUUCGUGACGUUAUGUUCUGCUUUGUUCUCUUUUCCCCAUUUACAAGUGCACUUUUCCGGAUGGGAUGGCGUUUGGUGGUUGAUUCACUGAUCAACUUUAGAAGGUUCGCCUGCUGUUGGGUGUUUCGUAUGCUGUUUAUAAUCUCUCGGCGGUGGGUGACGGAUGAGCAACGAAAAACAACAUACACGCGUCAAACUACCCAGAAAAGGUGUGCCCGAUGGGUGCUCCGGAGAUAGAUAGACCAAAUAUUGAAUGCAAACAGUACUUUAGCAGGAAAGAAGAUGUAAAAGGAAGUUGGGUUUGUGGUGCCUUUUUGGGUGGUGGGUAAGCGCGAUUAGUCAUCCCAUCGUUUGCUGCCAGUCAUCUGCCGAGUUUUGUGCAAUGUCCACAAUGACUAGUUGACAUUUGAAAGUUCGGUUUGCUCCAGUUUGACGUGCAAAGAGGUUUUGAAUUUUGGAAACUGUUCCUUCACAAGUUUCAGACGAGUGAUAGCCUGAUCGAGUACAUUCUGCUCUACGUCAAAAGGAGAGUUGCAAAACCAGUGUCCAUCGAUGGUUCCGUUCCGAUCUGUAUGUUCCGAAUGGCGGAAGUGAAUCAUCACCGGCGGUUGAAGCUGUGACGCCAUCCCAAGAAGUGAAGGAGGACGGCAGCAAACACUGGUGACUCUAAUUCCCCAACCGUUCAGCGGGCUGGCGGGAUUGAUGACUUAACCCGCAGGUGAGCAGAAGAGUGUUAUCGGUUUCGAUUUCGAGAGCGGGCAGAUAACGAAUGGGAUGGGAUUUUGUUUGGGCUGCUUUGGAGCGUGUAGCUUCAUACAUGCUGCAGUAGCUUAACCGAGUGUUACAACAAAGUGCGCGCGAAGAAGCGAGAGAGAGAGAGAUAGUGAAGAGAGAAAGAGAGACAGAGAGAGAGCGAAUAUAGGCCCCUCAACAGAGCAAGAGCGUGAUUGAUGUCGUGUUCUCGGUGUCGUUGAGGUGUCUCGUAGUGAUGAGCGGAUCGAUUCCGACCCGUGGGUGCAGCGAGUUAGGUUUAUAAAAGUUCGGUAGGUUCAUAUGAGUUCAGAAAGUUGGAUUGUUUAACCCUUUGACAGUCCUAGGAUUAGUAGAAAAUGCUCAAACCCAUAGUGAAAUAAUGGCAAAAAGUUACGAAAAGAAAUUAAUUUUGGCCCAGAACGUUGCUUUACAAAAGAUGAUGAGCAAAAUGUGUAAUUAUCCUUGUUCUAUCUCCCUCCCCUUCCCCCCACGCGACGAUUGAAUCGAAACGUUGAAAAAAAUUACUGCUCGAGUCUCUCUCGGGCAAACCAGUGAAUGGAUUAACGAACAGCGAAUGUGAUGAGAAUAAAAAAGAAAAAAAAUCUGUUUCAAUUCUUCACAUUUCGUCGUCUAUCAAACAGCCCAACUAUCGCGGAUGAACUCACUACUCGUAUGACCCUUUCGGCGUCGUAUGCAACUCGUUGCAACCACGGGUCGGAAUCGCAUAUGCGGUGCAGAAACUACUGAACCUACUGAAUUCGUAUGAACCUAUGGAACUGGUUGCACGGGUCGGAAUCGCAUACGGUUUGCUGAACGGACCCGGCCUAUGGAACUCGUUGCACUCACGGGUCGGAAUCGAUUUCGACCUAGCCGCACCCGACUCCGGAUCGAUCCGUUAGUGGAGUCACUAGUGUCUAAUGACCCAUCACUAGUAUCUCGCCCUAAAGAUGCUUCACAGCCGCACCAGAGUACAAUGUGUUGACGCAGUGGAUCGAUUUUAUCUGUACACACACUCGUACCUAGCGACAGAGCCCUGGGAGCGAAUGCUACAUCAGUGAACUGUGAUCUCAAGCAUCACACCAGGGGCAUUGGAAGAUAAGACGUUUGGGACCACACAUCACACAGCCACUCACGGUUGUAUCAAUAGCGUCCGCUCGUGAUGCUCAAAGGCGAAGGGUGCCAACGCAUGGGCUUCAAAGCGUUUUCGCUAUCAGACUAUCAGCGCUGCGACACGAUGGAAAGGCAGACCGGUGAGCAAGCGAUUCUAUUUACGAAACCCACUCCGGUGUACGUGCGUAUCUUCGCUUCCUGGUGCUGGGAGUAGCAUCUAGCACGUAUCGAUCUGGUCCGACGGUGUACGCCGCAUGGCUCCCAACUAGCAGGGAAGCCCCACGUGAAAGCGAUUUUAGUGCAGGGGUGCUCGCAUGGCACGGACUGUUUUGUCCUGACGCCUAUAAUAGGACGAGAAUGCCACUCUCUCCAGAGAGAAGAGCGAGCGAGAACAUCGUUAGCGUACCCUUUCGCCGCACACAGAGAGCAUUUUGGGCGCUAGCGUACCACGAAGCAGGACCGCCACACCUUGCCCGACUGGCCGACACGGCAAAGAUACGGAAGACGUAACGUGAGACGACACUAGGCAAGGGGCUCGAUCGGGAUGCGCGUGGCAGAGGAGUUCCGAGGAUAUACCGGCGUGGCGCGGGUUUUUGCGGCCGAACUGGAGGGCGUUUUCUGUUUGUCAUCUAGAUCAAACACACGCAAACGUUAUCUGGUGGGACAGUGGCGCUCUUGUCUGCGUGUGUUGGCCUCUGUAGGAAUCGAAACCAAUAAAAAAAAAAUCUUCAAACCGCA